CACGUAGGGGGCAAGCGUUGUCCGGAUUUAUUGGGCGUAAAGAGCUCGUAGGUGGUUCGGUAAGUCGGGUGUGAAGCCUCCAGGCUCAACCUGGAGACGCCACCCGAUACUGCUGUGACUGGAGUCCGGUAGGGGAGCGUGGAAUUCCUGGUGUAGCGGUGAAAUGCGCAGAUAUCAGGAGGAACACCAGCGGCGAAGGCGGCGCUCUGGGCCGGUACUGACACUGAGGAGCGAAAGCGUGGGUAGCAAACAGG
rnacentral:rRNA from 1 species